ACGCUGGCGGUAGGCUUAACACAUGCAAGUCGUGCGAGAAGUAUCUUCGGAUAUGAGUAGAGCGGCGGACGGGUGAGUAACGCGUAGGAAUCUACCUAGUAGAAGGGGAUAGCCCGGGGAAACUCGGAUUAAUACCGUAUACCUCCUUAGGGAGAAAGAGGGCCUCUCUUGAUGCUCUCGCUAUUAGAUGAGCCUGCGUAAGAUUAGCUUGUUGGUGAGGUAAUGGCUCACCAAGGCUACGAUCUUUAGCUGGUCUGAGAGGACGAUCAGCCACAUUGGGACUGAGACACGGCCCAGACUCCUACGGGAGGCAGCAGUGGGGAAUAUUGGACAAUGGGCGCAAGCCUGAUCCAGCCAUACCGCGUGUGUGAAGAAGGCCUUCGGGUUGUAAAGCACUUUAAGCAGGGAGAAAAAGUUAUAAGUUAAUACCUUAUAACCGUGAUGUUACCUGCAGAAUAAGCACCGGCUAAUUCCG
rnacentral:rRNA from 1 species